rnacentral:rRNA from 1 species
GGCGGCGUGCCUAUACAUGCAGUCCAGCGGGUAUCGAAAGAUACCAGCGGCGGACGGGUGAGGAACACGUGGGGAAUAGGCCUAACAGACCGGAAUAACGCCUGGAAACGGGUGCUAAGGCCGGAUAGGCGCAUGAGGCGCAUGCCUGAUGCGGGAAAGGAUGCUAUGGCAUCGCUGAGAGAGGACCCCGCGGCGCAUUAGCUAGUUGGUAGGGUAAAGGCCUACCAAGGCGACGAUGCGUAGCCGACCUGAGAGGGUGACCGGCCACACUGGGACUGAGACACGGCCCAGACUCCUACGGGAGGCAGCAGUAGGGAAUCUUCGGCAAUGGGCGACAGCCUGACCGAGCAACGCCGCGUGAGUGAAGACGGUCUUCGGAUUGUAAAGCUCUGUCAUGCGGGACGAGCGACAAGGAGAGGGCAUGCUCCUUGAGAGACGGUACCGCAGGAGGAAGCCCCGGCUAACUACGUGCCAGCAGCCGCGGUAAU